UGGGGAAUUUUACACAAUGGGCGAAAGCCUGAUGUAGCAACGCCGCGUGGAGGAUGAAGGAUUUAGGUUCGUAAACUCCUUUUAUAGGGGAAGAAAUUUGACGGUACCCUAUGAAUAAGCACCGGCUAACUCCGUGCCAGCAGCCGCGGUAAUACGGGGGGUGCAAGCGUUACUCGGAAUCACUGGGCGUAAAGGGAGCGUAGGCGUUCUAUUAAGUCUUGAGUGAAAGCCCGCAGCCUAACUGCGGAACUGCUCAGGAAACUGAUAGAAUUGAGUAUGGAAGAGGUCAGUGGAAUUUCCAGUGUAGGGGUAAAAUCCGUAGAUAUUGGAAGGAAUACCAGAAGCGAAGGCGACUGACUGGGACAUUACUGACGCUGAGGCUCGAAAGCGUGGGGAGCAAACA
rnacentral:rRNA from 1 species